rnacentral:rRNA from 1 species
UACAGAGGUCUCAAGCGUUGUCCGGAAUUAUUGGGCGUAAAGAGCUCGUAGGCGGUUUGUCGCGUCUGCUGUGAAAACUCGGGGCUUAACUCCGGGCCUGCAGUGGGUACGGGCAGACUAGAGUGCGGUAGGGGAGACUGGAAUUCCUGGUGUAGCGGUGAAAUGCGCAGAUAUCAGGAGGAACACCAAUGGCGAAGGCAGCUCGCUGGGACGGUACUGACGCUGAGACGCGAAAGCGUGGGGAGCAAACAGG